GGAGCCAGCCGGACCAUCGCGCCGGCUUCGACGAGGCCGGUGAGGAAAGUCCGAACACCACAGGGCACCGUGCUUCCUAACGGGAAGGCCCGCCCACAGGGGCGGUGACGGCACGUGCAACAGAGAGCAGACCAGCCGAUGGCCCUUCGGGGCACAGGUGAUGGGUGAAACGGUGGGGUAAGAGCCCACCAGCGUCCCGGGUGACCGGGGCGGCUAGGUAAACCCCACGGGGUGCAAGGCCAAACAGCGCUGCACCGGCCCCGGCCGGAUAAGGUGGCCCGCCGAAUCGCAGCGCGGGUAGGCUGCUAGAGGCCGCCGGUGACGGCGGUCCCAGAUAAAUGAUGGUCUCCCCGGCCCCGGCGCGGCGGUCGCCGACCGGGCAGACAGAAUUCGGCUUACAGGCUGGCUCCAGCC
rfam:Rhodothermaceae bacterium RA, complete genome.